GAUGAACGCUGGCGGCGUGCCUAAUACAUGCAAGUCGAGCGAACAGAUGAGGAUCUUGCUCCUCUGACGUUACCGGCGGACGGGUGAGUAACACGUGGAUAACCUACCUAUAAGACUUGGAUAACUUCGGGAAACCGGAGCUAAUACCGGAUAAUAUAUUGAACCGCAUGGUUCGAUAGUUAAAGCCGGUUUUGCUGUCAGUUUAGGAUGGGUUCGCGCUGCAUCAGCUAGUUGGUAAGGUAAUGGCCUACCAAGGCGACGAUGGGUAGCCGGCCUGAGAGGGUGGACGGCGACAUUGGGACUGAGAGGCGGCCCAGACGCCUACGGGAGGGAGCAGGGGGGAAGAUUGCAGAAUGGGCGCAAGGCGGAUGCAGAGACGCCGCGUGGGGGAUGACGGGCUUCGGGUUGUAAACUACUUUCGCAAGGGACGAAGCUUUUUGUGACGGUACCUAGAUAAGAAGCACCGGCUAACUACGUG
rnacentral:rRNA from 1 species